UGCGCUCUGAUACCAAAUGCUAGGAAUCCCUAACAGAUCUGGUAGUCCCAGUGAUAGUUACUAGAAUAACAGAAAGAGAGAGAAGAGAAAGUGAGGGAGAGAGAAUUUUAGGAGGGAAAAACAGUUAACUUUAUUGAUGAAUGAUUGCCCUGAAUAGGCCUUUCCAGCUGUUUAUAUACAAGUCAGCUAGCUAAAACAAUUGCUCCCGCCCAAACGCUUACUUAUUUCUAUACCUAGUUCUUCUACAUGUCACAUAUUGAUAUUAUGAGUAUGAAUGAAAUAUUGAUAUUAUAAUGAUGUUUAUUGAUUUAAGUGUCAAUUACUAGUUUUGGUGUCAAACAAUUAUUUUUUCUAACUACUGCUGUGUGCAUUUGGCCCCUUUCCCCUUUGACAAACAUGCCAUUAAUUAAGAUAAGAAAAUGACUAAAUAGAAAAAACUACAUGUGUCUUCAUAUAACUUUCUUUUCCUUUCAUUAAUUUUUAUUUUUAGCUUAAAUUGUCAACAGACGAACAGAUAAUGCAGGAUCGGAUGUAGACAAGAGAAGGCUUUAGAUUCCAAUACUCCCAAGCAAAUGAAUGAUGCCAAUGGAACUACAAAUUCAAGUCCAAGAGGGCAAGGCAUAGUGUGUAUAAGAAGGGUACAGGUACAACAAAUCAGAAAGAAAACAAAAAAAAUUAGUACAAUUCCAUAGGCUUUAUGGAAUUCUAAUAACAACGAGAUCAAUCACCAUUUCCCAGAUUAUAGAAACUUAACUUAGUGCAAAGAAUGGUUCAUCCUGGAAAAAUAAAAGCACUCAUUUCUUCUAGAUACUCUUAAUCAAGAAACCUUCCAACUCAAACACUAUACCAAGGAUACAUUAGGGUUUCAGAAACCCAACCAAAGAAUGUGCAGAGGAAAGAAGAAUAGAGAGAGUUUAGGUAGAAAAGAAAAAUGAGAAUUCGUUAGAAGAUAAUAGAAAGUAUUAUUCUUGAUAAUUCUGGAAUGAAUUACAAUAAAGGUCACUGAGUUUGUUAGCAGCAAUAAAGACAAUGUGCAGGUGACUGCAUACUGAAUCUCAAUACAAGUGAAAGAACUCAAAUUAAGACAAACACAGCAGUACAAUAAUGAAAAUAGAAUUGCAUGGAUAAGCCUAAACCAAGCAGAAGUGUUAGCAAACCAAGGGUUGGAACAUCCUCUAAGAACCUUCAACUUUUUUUAUUUAAUACGUAUUGAAAGUUUUAUCCCAUGAAACCAAACUAGAAAAAUAAUAAUAACUUUGAAGUUAAACCAAGUGUCAUAAAACAAGAAUUUCCUAACGGGAAAAAUAAAAAUAAAACAACUAAAAUUAGGUGCAAAACUUACAAUGAUUCGGCCUUCAAUUCUCAGAUCCUUCUACUCAAAAAGCCAUAUUUGAAUGCGGGCUUUCUAUGAGAACCACAUAAAAAAGAGAGAGAAGAAGAAGCAAGUAUUAAGCUUCCCAUUAAGGACAACCUAAUUUAAGCAAACCCAAAUGAGUAAAAGAAUAGAAUAAGCGAAGAACUGACUUACACUUUGAAGAAACCUGAAAAUCAGGUUCUGAUGCAGCAUAUCCCAGUAAGCACAAAGUAAAGCAACAAAUGAGAGGAGGAAGGAGACAAAAAAGCCACAAAUAAAAGUUGGGGGUUAAAGACAACAAGAAGCAUAAGUGUUAAACGUACAAUGGGUUGGGUUAUAAUCCUUUGGACCUUGGUACUAGCCAUGUUGAUGAGCUCUGGAGGAUUCCGGAGGCAAAGAGAAAGUUGAGUUGGAGAGAAGUGCAACCCUAGAACGAUUUGAGCCAAGAGGCAAAUUAGUCAUAUUUUUCUAACCAAAUAGAUUUUUUUUUAGCCAAACCAAAUAGAUAUUUUGUUUUGAGUAAUAUGCGGGGGGAUAAAUUACUCUAAGCUCUCUAUGGUUUGUUAAAAUUAGUUACACAAUACAUAUUUUAAAAAAAUAAUUAAAACAUUUAUUUUAAUUUUAACUACAGAAAUAACAUAAUAUAUAGCAAGCCUAGUCUGGUUUGAUCCAAUGGUAAAAAGAAAUAUUACUCACUUAGGAGACUCAGGCUCAAGUCUGAUACCCCCAAUCCCCUACUUAAAAAUAUAUAUAUAUAGAAAAAAUUACAGAUAUUAAAUAAUAAGAUUCUUAAAAUUACAACAGAUUAAAAGAUAUAAAUAUUAAAAACUAAAAAAAAAAUAUAAUUAAUAUGCCCUUAACAAAAUUAUUAAAGGAUUUGAUUUUAAAAGUAUCACUAUGUUUUAAUUGGGCUUUAAAAAGAUAACAACUAAUGAUUAAUUUUAGCACAAUAUAAAAAUGUGUCAAUAAUUUAUCCUGUGAACCAAAAAUGGCUAACAAAUUGAUAUGGACAAAUCACAGUUACAUUCUUUUUUUCCUUUUUUGAAUAAGUUAAGUUGUUGAAUAUUGGCUUAUUAAUAAUUUGAUUAUCUUAUUUUCUUUUUAAAAAAAAAAAUCAUAGCUUCUUUAUCACUUACAUAUAGAUCAUUUCAUUCCGUUCUUUUUUUUAAGGCUCCUUCUGUUUCCUAGGAAAUAUUUUUCAAGAAAAUGUUUUCUACAUUUGUUGGUAUUUGAGGCACUCAAAAAAAUUAGUCUCACAUAAAAUAUUUUUCUAGUUAAAAGAAAAAUUAACUUAUUUUACAGAAAAUGACUUCCUCUUUUGAGAAUCUUAUUAACACCUUUAUAUAUAAAAUUGUCAAUAUAUUUUAUUUUUUAAAUUAAUAAACAAUGAAAAAUAAGUCAUUUUAUUAGAAAUUUUUUCAAUGAAAACAUUUUCCACCGGAAAAUAUUUUUCAAAUGCAAGUUAUGUUCCACAAACAAACGGCGCCUUAAUUUUGCGAUUAGAAAACCCUAAAAAUAACAAAAGUGUUUUUACUUAAAAUUCCUAAAACCAUUUGAAUUCACAAAUAAAUGUUUGAUUAAUACAAGUGCCAGUAAAUACUUUGCAUACUGAAACCCAUAAAAUUCGGAUAGCUUCAUACAUUCGUCACUCUUUUUAAUUAUAAACAAAGAUUCACACAAACUUUAAGCACAAAACUGAACAGGAGCUGAGACAUAAAAGAACGAAAUAAAAGAAUAAAGUGAAGUUUUUGUAUUUGAUUGCCAAUCAUUUUUUGCAUGCUAUGGUAUCUAUUCAUGCAGUAAACCAAAGAGAUGUUACUGAGGAAAAGGACAGUUAGAAGGAAGAAUAAAUUUAAAAGUCACCUUCAUCAUGAAGGAAUGAAGACAUGAAGCUAAAGAAAAAUGUUUUAUAAAGCUCAUUUUUACAUUUAAGUCAUUACUUUUCAUCCAUUUUCUCAAAGCAUUUUUUUAUUUCUAUCUUUCUUCUUUUCAAAUCACACUCUAAGAAAACAGAUUUUUUGUGGGGAAAGUUUUCCACAUUAUAUCUUGAAUUACACCACUAUAAAAAUUUGUAGUGAAUAUAAAAUUAGUCACAACGUUGCCAUUAGAAGUGUGAAACAAAAGAUCACAGUGGUGAAAUUAUUUCACCACAAAAGCUAUAUUUUCUAUGGGGAAAUAUGAUCCAUUAAAAAUAUAGUUUAUUAGAGAAAAGUUUUCCCACUAAAAAUAAAACUUUUGCAGCGAAAAUCUUCCCCACUAAAAGAUAUGACUUUUGCAGCAAAACUUUUCUUCAUUAAAAGUUUGUCGAUUUGUGGGAAAUUUUUCCCCACUAAAGCAUAUCAUUAUAAUAAAAUAGUUACAAUUGAUUUAGUCAUAGGAGUUUGCUUACAUAUAAUUUAGUAGUUGCCUAUUUAUUAAUACUCAUUUUAUUAAAUCAAUUGAUUAAUAUGAGAAAUAAUAGAUCACCUUAAAAGUAUAUGGUUUCCAUUAUAAAAGAUAUGGAUAUUAAUGUACAAAGAUUUGGGACGACUCCAACCCCUGACUAUAAAAGAUCUCAAUAUGAGGGUUACAAUGAUUCAGUUGAGUUUUGAGUCAACAAUAGCACCUCUAUGGAUGCACUAGUUCUGAUGUGAUAACCAUCUGUCAGAAGUUGACAUUCAGAAUAGACAAAAGCAAGAAAAUUCUCUUAGAACAAUGAGUAAUAUUCUGGCCUCCACCUCUGUUUGUCUUGUCCAGAUGUUCAAACAGAAGCAUUUGUCAAUAUGAAAUACACCAACUUCCAUGCACAUAGUCCAAAAAAUAAAUGAUGCUUUAGGUUCAUUAGUUAGCUAUUGUGUUAAGCGUAAUUGCCCCAAAAAACAAGUGAGCAAAGACAGCUUUCUUAGAAUCUAUGUUUUGGAUUUUUACAAGGUUCCUUUUAACUUCAUCUAUAUUUUAUAGUCAUUUCUUAUUUGUUUUCUUUUGCAUCGAAUUGGAACCUGCAGGUUCAAGUUUUUGCUCUUUCUCAUUGGUAAUCAACUCAUUUUUCAUACUUUUCAUUGAAUUUGCUGUCUUUCAAGUAAAGAAUCCAUGUUAAUCUCAUCAGAAAUGGUAAAUAAAACAUGUCAAGCUCCAAUGGGAUUUUGGCAUUAUCAAUUUAACCAUCAAACUGAAAAAAGAAAAAUCAAAAGGAAUUUUCUUGAUCUAAGACUAUAUAGACACAUGGGUACCUAUUACCUAAACUAAUCUUGUGUUCCUAAACUGAUAAAUUUUGAAUUAAAAAAAAAUCAAAACCAUGGAAUAAUGUGUGUUUUAUAGAUCAUUGUAAUUCAAGGGUGGAUGUUAUUUUUUUGUAAUUGACAGUCAAAAGAAUAUAAUUAUAAUAAAUUGAACUCAAAUAAUUUCAUAAAUCAAUGAAGCAUGUCUGUCAGAUUUGUUUAAAAAUUGUACCACUUCAAAAAUUCAACAUAUCAAUAUAAAUAUAAAUAUAUUAAUUAGGAUAAUAAGAUAAAAUAGAAGUUGCAAUUGCUUACUUAUUGGAACCAGAAUAUUUAGACUUACUAUGAGGCUGGAGAUUAAAGUAGCAGAUGUGUCGAAAACAACUAAUCUGAGAGUUUCUUGAUCCCCCAAAUGCAGACACUAGCUAACAAUUAUAUUAUUAAAUCCACAUGAUUCCAUUGCUACAUGGAACUUUUGUUCCUGGUGCACACCAGGAACUGGUGUCAGUUCCUGGUAUGCACCAGGAAUUAGAAACUGAGACCAGUUCCUGAUGCACGAUCAGGGACUGAUAUCAUUCCCUGGUAUCCACCAAGAACUGAGAUUCAGUUCCUGGUCCAUACCAGUUUUCUAUACACAGAUUUGGUGAUACAAGUUUUUAGACAUACAUAUUGAAGGCAAAUUUACUUGGCACUUUGACAAUCAGCUCAUAGGAUUUUACUACUUAGGAGUAGAAAUAAAUGUGGGAAUUUUUCUUAAUGUUAUCCUCUAUCUACAGCUAGACAAAAAAUAAAUAAGAAAAUGAAAAAUAAAAAGUAUAAUGGGUGCCUUUACACUAUCUCAACUGUCAAUAAUCAUAUACCUAAUCAUUUGAUAGUCUUUAAAACUGUGUAUUCCUUCUGUAUAGAACUAUAUCAGCAGCUUGUAAGUGGGAUUUCUUCACUCUCUCCGUUAUCUUCGAUUCAUGAAUUUAGAAUGACAAUAAUUUCAGUUCCACCAGGAACUGCUCUAACAAUCCAUCACUUAGGGGACAUUGAGAAUUAUUCAAAAACAAUUGGGGGCUACGAGAAUCCAUCACCCCUAAGAUUAUUGAGCUAAAAUAAAAUAUCGAAAAUCAAACCCACAAUAUAUUGUGCCUCCAACCUUAUCGAGCAUUAUAGGUUCUUUUGAACUUUAUAGAAAAUCAAAACAAGACCUCCAACAGUGAAUUUCAUUAAUCUUCCAACAGUCAUUGGUUUGUUAACAUCAUCUAUGGACAAAUUCUCACAACAAAUAAAAGAAAAAUAGAAGUGAGAUAUCAAACCUGGUUGCAAUCGGGCGAAGGAAGAAGAAUGGGCGCCGCAGGUCCUCCAAGAUCAACUACUCGUCAAUCUGGUGUUUGGGGCGAUGGAGAUUGUGCUUUACCAACAAGCAAUAUAGAGAGUGGAGAGGAACUUGACUCGCACGAUAUGGUCCUCCAAACCUUCGUUUUCAGUUCAAGACCCGAGUAACUUCAAUUUAUUUAUUUAUUUUUC
rnacentral:lncRNA from 1 species